AGUCACAGUAAUUUUCAUAGCCUUAUGGGAUGAUAUACCCCCAAUAAACAUUACUUAAAUAUGUUAUUAUAAAAUGUUUGUAUUGGUUAUCAUCAAAGGGUUAAGUUCUAAAUAUGUUAUUAUGAUGUGUUUAUAUUGGUCAUCUUCCAAAACAAAAUUUUCAGUGGAAAUAAAACAAGUCGUUUUUAAAGGAUGCUUUGGAUACCAAGCUACAUUAUAGGACAUAAGGUUUCAUAUAAUUGUAAUAAUUAUUAUUGCUACUUUUCUGGUGUACAAAAUGUAUUCAUGUCUUCUGACUGUGCAGGUCUUCCAACAUUUUGUUUAUGGUGAUAACCUCUGUAUGAUCCAGGUAUUCACCUUUCUCUUGUGCUCCAGCUACUUGUGGUAAGAUGUACAUAUCAAGCCAACAUGAGAUAAUCAAUUGAAUAAUAGUGUUUCUUAAAACUUAUGUAAUGGGUAUGAUAUGUGUCACCAUACUUGGGAUGCUCAGGUGCUGAGUGGUCCAAACGAUGUCACAUGCUAAAAUUAAGGGCUAAACACUAUAAACUUCUAAGGUACAUUUAUAGGCUGUGUGGCUUUUUGAUGACAUCCUAUUAAAGGAUGACGAAUAAGGGUUUUUCUAUGUGAUAUUUGUCUUAUAAUCAAAUAGAGGUAUUUGACUAAAAGCUACUCCUUGCUAAGAUGGACAUUAAAUGUGUUACAAGGAUAAUGUCAUCAUGAUUGUUAUACUAAAAUACUAUGUGUGGCUCUUGAUCUUAAGCUUUUCUAUACAAUGUAUAAUGUUAUCUGUUAACAUUCUACAGGGAUUCAACUAAGACAACCAUGGUCUUCUAACUAUACUUUAUAUUUCAAAAGUGUUUAAUGUCCAACAAAAUUAUAAUAGUGACCUUCUCUUCUGUUUGUUCAAUAACUAAAGUUUAGAGACCAAAAUGAAAAGGUAACUGGGCUAAAGGACAACCAAUAUUUUGGCCCUGGCCCCUCAAGGUCAACAAAGAUCUUGGCGGCAGCCAUCAGAGGGGACCAAACUCUGGGAAGCCCAAAGGGCAGAUGCCAAAAAACCAGGAGGAUACCCAACAUUGGACAGAAGUCAAUGUGUCUACUGCAAGGAGAAAAGACACUGGAAAAAUGAAUGCCCCCAUCGACCCUCUGCCAAGGUACUGUCCCUCCCCACAUCCAGGGAAAGGGAAGACUUGGAGUGAGGGGUAGCUGGGGCUCCUUUGACCCCAGGAAGCCCAUGGUGAAUGCUGAAAUAGAGGGCCAACUGGUUCGCUUCCUGGUGGACACUGGCGCUGAGAGGUCAGUAAUGUUAAAAACUUCCCCUGGGCAAGCUUUCUUCACAAGUUAUUCCCAUCCAGGGGGCCAGAGAAGCAGUCCAGAACUGCCCACUCACAAGUGAAUGAACAGUAAACUUGGGACCAAAACAAGUUAUUCAUUCUUUUCUGGUGAUACCAGACUGCCCAUUCCACUUGCUGGGACGAGACCUCCCUCAUAAACUAAGGGCCACCGUUUCUUUCACUCUGACCAAGGCACAGAUGUCACUCUGUUCUUACCACUGCUUUAUCUGAGGAAUAUCUCCUCUUGGGGAAAGAAAGCACAGAGGAAACAAGCCCUGAGGGCUUAUUGGACAGACUCCAGGCUGAGUUCCUGAAGGUGUGGGUGGAAACUAAUCCACUGUGUUUGGCUGCCCAUCACACUCCAUUGGUAGUUGAACUCUUGUUGACAGCCACGCUUGUGCAAGUUCGACAAUAUCCCAUCUCUCAGAAAGCCAGAAAGGGGAUAGCCCCUCACAUCAAGAGGUUGCUGGACUUUGAGAUAUUGACUCCCUGUCUCCAUGGAACAUCCCGUUCCAGCCAGUACAGAAACCGGGACAUCAGAUUACAGGCCAGCCCAGGACUUGAGAGAAAUUAACCAACAAAUGGUAACUCUGUACCCUAACCUAUAUACCCUCCUGAGUUUGCUGUCUCCUGAGCACCAAAUGUAUAUUGUGCUAGAUUUAAAAGAUGCUUUUUUUCAGUCUGCCUCUAGCCCCAGCUAGCCAGCCCAUCUUUACCUUUGAAUGAACUUGACCCGGCUGCCUCAAGGAUUCAAGAACGCAGCCACUCUGUUCAGUGAGGCCUUCCAGGAGGACUUGCCAAAAAGGCACAACUCUGUGCCUCCUGAGUGUUGUAUCCUGGGGUAUGAAAUCUCAGAAGAAGAAAAAAGAACUCUGGUCUCAAGCUAGAAAAUGGGCCAUUCUCCAGGUAUCCACACUAACUACCAAGAAACAGGAGGAGACGAACCCCUAGAAUGGGGAACAGAAGAGGAAAAGGCAUUCCAAGAUCUAAAACAGGCACUGGUAUCAGCCCCAGCUCUGGCGUUGCCUAAUAUCACCAAGCUGCCAUUUUAUCUGUUCAUCCACAAGGUUUGCCUUUGCUAUGCUACCUGGCCAUCAUUCAUAUCCAGAGACAUCAAAGACACAAUACUCCAGAAACAAAAGGAAACCAGCCCGCAGACUGAGCCACCAGGGAGGCAGACCUAAGACCAUUUAAGCCUUUAAUCAUUCUGCCUGCUAUAAGUCUACCUCCCCCUCUGCUCCUGGCUAGUCCCAUUUACAAUAAAGAGGAAGACAAAUAAUCAAACCAGUUGCAAGCAAAAAAGGACCCCCAAGGCUGGUGGAAAUGUCCAGAUGGCCAUAUCUACCUCCCUCAGGCACAAGGGAGACAACUCAUUCAGCAGCUACAUUUAGUCAUGCACCUUGGGGGCUCCAAGAUAGAUGAGCUUCUAGUGCCAGGCUCUCUAGCUCUCUAGCUUCUAGGCUCUCCAGGCCUCUCCUUGGUGGCCAGCCUGUGUGUAAGUAAAUCCUCACCAGUGCCCAUCUGCACCCCUUGGAAUUCAAUUCAGGAGAAUGAGUCCGGGGCUAACAUUGGAAAGUGGACUUCACAGAGAUCAAGCUGCAGGCUGGCGACUAUUGAUAUCUUCUGGUAUUCAUUGAUACUGUCUCAGGUUGGGUGGAAAUCUAUGCUGCUCAGCAGAAAACUGCCACUCUGGUGGAAAAAGCUGCUCCAGGAAUUGAUCCCCAGGUUUGGGAUACCGGUGUCCAUUGGAUGUGACAAUGGCCCUGCCUUCAUAGCCUCUAUAAGUCAGUCAAUAGGGCACUGGGUAUAAAUUGGAAACUCCACUGUGCCUACCAACCUCAAAGCUCACAGCAAAUGGAACGAAUGAAUCGAACCCUAAGAUCUACUUUGACCAAAUUGAUUUUAGAAACCGGUGAAGGGUGGGUCAACCUGCUGCCCCUGGCCAUCCUUCGAGUGAGAUGCACCCUUUAUAAAGUGGGCUUUACUUCUUAUGUUUAAAAGGCCUCCUUCCCUGCUCCCCAAAGUAAAAAACUGAGAAGCUAGAGGAAUCUUCUAACCAGUCUCUGUUAAAGUACCUUCAGUCCCUUGAACAGGUAGAGGCUUCUGUCCAUGCCAGUGUACACUGUGCCUUACCCUUACCCGGCUCUGUCCCCUUACCCGGCUCUGUCCCCUGACCUUCAUUCCAGCUGGUACCUUCAGUCCCUUGAACAGGUACAGGCUUCUGUCCAUGCCAGUGUACACUGUGCCUUACCCUUACCCGGCUCUGUCCCCUGACCUUCAUUCCAGCUGGGAGACACCAUACUCAUCAAGGAUUUCCAGAAAGAGACUCACCCUGCUCUGGAAGGGACCAUACACUGUUGUCCUCAUCCUCAUUUUCCUCGGGCUCCUGACUGGGCCUUGUGUUCUUAAUUAGAUAAUUAACUUUGUAAAACAGUGUAUAGCCUCUGUUAAACACAGUGUGCAGCCUCUGUGAAACUGUUGUACAUGAGAACCUACUAUAAUUCCCUACCCACUCAGGAGGCUCAAGAUAAGUCAGUGCUUUGACAUCAUACUUAGAGGAGUUGGGAAUGUGAUAGCCAACCUGACUCCAUUUGUGUAAAGUCCAGAUGGUUGCCUUCCCCUUCUCCCUUAGGAGUCCCCUCAGUUAAUGCAUGACUGACUGCUGCAUCCCAUGUGAGUUUGCAAUGAUGUUAUCUUUAUUGCCUUGUAAACAGAAGACUGCACCUGUGAUAUUUUGUUUUAAUUAAGCUGUGUGAAACUUCCCCUGACCCCCACUAACUUAGCAAAGUUCUGCUCCUCUGAAAUUCUGCUUGUGCUGCCCCUCUCCCUGAGCCCUCCCCAAAUAGAAGAGCCCUUAAAAGGACCUUGCAAACUGCCUUGUCUUUGUCCAGUUUUUUUCUGGCGAGAGCCACUCUGGAAAGCCGGCUAUGAUGAUGAAAGACUCAAUUUAAUUCAAUGUGGUGCAUCAUUAUAGUUCCAACUCACCUGGCCCUAUAACAAGGUCAGCCUCAUUUGAAUACUUUCAAGUUUCUAUGUUAUAAAAGAGUCUUUGCAUCUCUGAUGUAUUAAGAUCGCUUCAGUUACAAGGGAAAGAGAAUCCUGUGCAAAUUUGCUUGAACAAUUUAAGGAAAUUUGGAGGUAAUGUGGAUGUUUUGGAGUCUGUUCUGGCCUGCUUCAUGGUAUAAUCAAAGGUCCUGUUCCUUCCCAUUCCACAGUUUUGCCUUCCAGAUAUCAGCUUUAUCUUAAGGCUGGCUUAUGUGGGAGUGCUUGUGUUUUGCCCUGCUCCGUGUACAGUAAGCAAGCUUGGAUUGUUUCUGAGACAGUGAGGUUUUUUAUAUACCCUCCAGAAAACUAUUCUUUGUGACCCAGAGGUCCUAUUUGAAAUCAUAUGCCCACAUAUUAACUUAAACCUGUUUUGUAAGUGGGAUUAUGGUUCCCUUAGGACUGAAUAUGUACGUAUUAGAACUAGUGAUGGAAUUGACUUCCCCUCAAAGUACAUGUGCUGUAUAUGGGUGGUAUAAACAAAAAUCAGGAUAAGUAUGAAGAGAAGAAUUAUAAAUCAAAAGGUCAUUUAUAAUAUCUACCUCACUUGCUUCUACCUACUUUCCACCCUACCUUCAUGAAUCUUGACAAAUGUACUCAUAAAUUGUUCUUUAAUAUUAUAAUAUUACUGAUACAUACCCAUCAUGUCAAAAUGAGAAAUGUGAACUUAAAAAAUAAAACUCAUACUUUUAAAGCAG
ensembl:lncRNA